rnacentral:rRNA from 1 species
UGCGUAGGCGGACUAAUAAGUCAGUGGUGAAAUCUCUCGGCUCAACCGGGAAACUGCCAUUGAUACUGUUAGUCUUGAGUUCGGUUGAGGUAGGCGGAAUGUGUAAUGUAGCGGUGAAAUGCUUAGAUAUUACACCGAACACCAAUUGCGUAGGCAGCUUACUAGACCGACACUGACGCUGAGGCACGAAAGCGUGGGUAGCGAACAGGAUUAGAUACCCUGGUAGUCC